rnacentral:rRNA from 1 species
CCUACGGGCGGCAGCAGUGAGGAAUAUUGGUCAAUGGCCGGAAGGCUGAACCAGCCAUGCCGCGUGAAGGUCAGUGCCCUAUGGGCGUUAAACUUCUUUUGUGCGGGAGCAAUAAUGGUCACGUGUGGCCAGACGAGAGUACCGUACGAAUAAGCAUCGGCUAACUCCGUGCCAGCAGCCGCGGUAAUACGGGGGAUGCAAGCGUUAUCCGGAUUUAUUGGGUUUAAAGGGUGCGUAGGCUGUGAGGUAAGUCAGCGGUGAAAUGCCCCCGCUCACCGGGGUGAAGUGCCAUUGAUACUGCCUGGCUGGAAUGCGGAUGCCGUGGGAGGAAUGUGUGGUGUAGCGGUGAAAUGCAUAGAUAUCACACAGAACACCGAUUGCGAAGGCAUCUCACGAAUCCGCGAUUGACGCUGAUGCACGAAAGCGUGGGUAUCAAACAGGAUUAGAUACCCGAGUAGUC